CCCGGGGCAGGGCGCACGGGGGAGCUCGAGCGGCGGAGCCGGGGGGUGCGGGCACCUCGGGGCGGGGACCGGGCAGGGCGGGGGAUCGGCGAUGGGGGACGGGGUGAAGGGAGCGCGGGGGGGGGGGUCCCGGCGGGGGCGAGGGGUCCGGCUCCGGCGCCGGGCGGAGGCUGUCCCGGAGGCGGCGUGGGGACCGAGCCGAGCCGCCCCGGGCUCUGCCGCCCGUCCCCCCCCCCGCCCGCGGCUGCCGGGGCGCCCGGAGCAGCCCGGCCCCCCUCCGCCCUGCCCCGGGCAGGCUGCAGCUGCCCCCGCCUGGCCCUCGCCCCUCGGCUCCCUCAGCGGGGCUUUGCCCCCUCCCCCGAAGGCGGCCAAAACCUUUGGCAGGCGCUGGAAGCUGGCGAGUGUCGCUGCUGCAGGUAGUGCUUUCAGAGAUCGCAUGGCUGCAGGUUUCGCCUGCUUGGGCUGUUAAGCAAAUGUAGCAGGAGCGUUCGUGAGUGGAGUGUGACGCGCCAUAAAUAAUGAGCCGUCUCCCAGGAAAGCAUCAGGGGACAGCAGAGGAGGAGACUGGCCUGGCAGCUGGUGAGCUCGCCCGGCGAGUCGUGUCCAGCUUUACAGGGGCCUCCUCCCUGACCACGGGUGAGCCACAGCAUCGUGCUCUGCUUCAGCAUCCCACCCUCGGAGUGGAAGGAAGAGCCAUGCGAGAUGUAUUAGCAGGCCCCAGCUCAAGGGCUUCUGGGUGUCUGCAUGACCCUUUGCAUCCUAUGGGGAUUAAAGAUCAGACAGGCUGCUCCGCAGAAUAGUGGGACUGCAGAGGGAGAUGGAGAGGACGUUAUUACGAGUCUGUUUUGCAGCCGCAGAUUUGCAGAUCUCAGGAGUCUAGUAGGGAAAUCUGUGAGGGCAAAAGGGUGCAUGGGGCAAAAGUGCUGUACCCCCAAAUUAGAAGACCCUGAAAGACAGCAUCCAAAAUAACAGCACAGUCACUGUGCUCUUCCCAGGUGCUGGAGGUCCAAGGAGGUCUCUGUGCCGGGGCUUGGAAACACACAGGCAUGGGUCUGCCUGCAGUGGGAGGCAUCUCUCUGAAUGCUUAUCUGGAACUUUUAAAGGAUUUUUUGAGCUUCAAACCCUGUAUAUUAUAAAACAAAAUUCCUCACGUUGUUAGCAUCACUCUCAACCAGCAGCAAUCAUUAGAUCCUGAGCUUGUUGCCAGCAGCAGCGCCGGUGAUUUACCUUGUUUGCAGCAAGGCUAAAGGACGAGCCAGUUUCCCCCUUUGCUGAGCUUCCCACAUUGCCUCUUUGCUCACGAGGAAGUAAAAUCCCUACAAAAAUCGGGCUGCCACCACAUCAGGAGACUGCCAACAUCCACCUCCACGUGCGGCUGCCUUGGAAUGCAUUUUAAAACCUACCCUGAACCUAUUUCUCCUCCUCUGCAUUUUUCCCAACACAUUUUUCUCCCCCCCGCCUGAGCUCCUGCCACCGGCUUGCAGGGACAGCCACCCUCUGCUACUGGCUUGGUGGCCGAUGGCAUGUCCCGUGCCAGAGCAACCUGUCCUCAUCCUGCUGACGUGCUUUGCUCGCCGUGCUCAGUUUUGCUUUCCGGCUAAACCCAUCAGCUGCUAUUUUUAAUAUCAAGGGAUAGACCCGCCUCUUUGCUCCGUCUCACACGUGUUGCAAGCGGCACAAGGUAUUAAGUUGAGCACGUCUGUGUUUAGCACCUGCCAGGCGGGUCCCGGCGAGGAAUGCAUCAGCUCUUCUGUGUCGCCAGCCCCGACAUUUCUUCUUCCUCCACAUGCCUUCUUUGGCUGAAAUGACAGUGCCAAAUUCUCCCUACGUGACAGAAGGCUGGGGUUUUGUUUUUUCCUUGCACUGAAAAGCAGCUCCUGGAGUGGAGUUAAUUCAUCCCGGUGCCAGAAAAGGGGAGGAGGUGAAGGGAAUGUUGCUGCAUCCCAGCAUCUGCCCUGGUUCGGUGCAGGCACGAAGAGCAGCGAGCUGUGGCUUGGGAGACACCCCCCCCCAGGGGUGCUGCUGGGAAAAGUGGGCACCCCUGAAAUCUGCAGCACAUUUUUUCCCACUUUAGCACAGCAAUUCCUUUCGUUUUUUUCCUGGGCUCAACUUAAAGUUUGUGCUUUGGGUUUUUUUUUAAUUUUUGCAGGGAUUUUAUUGCUGUGACAGAUAUACCAGGGUGGAAUCGCUGGGAUAAACACAUCCCAAAAUAAAGGAUUUGCACAUCCUGUUUUUAAAGCUGGUCUUGCAAAAUGUUCAAAAGCUUUUCUAUGUAGCUAGCAUUUCAGUGUCCAUAAAUGGCUUAAACUUUUCCCAGCUAUUGUUAGUGGCAGUAUCUGUAACUCAGUGGCUGUAAUAUAGCACAUGCAAAUGAGGAAGAAUAAAUAAAUACAUAAAGUAAAACAGAAUGGCUCAGCUUUCACAGUGUUAUGCUGGGAAAAGCUGCUGACUACAAGGCCCAGGAGCUCCUGUACUUAUUUCAGGGCAAACAGGUUGCAAACAAGCCAGGAAAACUUGUACUCUAGGACUUUGUCCUCCUGGGACAUAUCCUGAAAUGGAUGGGGCGCUGGCCUGGGAUGUGAGACUGGGUGAGUUUUGUGUCUUCCCAGCUUCAGUGACGUGCUCUGAACGCCUGGGCCAGGACCACGGUCCCAGUGCUGCGCUGGAGCCAGCGUUCCUGCGGGUUUCCAGGUCAGGAUGUUCAUGUCAUCGUGCUGAUGGCAGGAUCAGAGCAGCUUUAACAGCCGUACCACGCUCACGGGGCUCCUCGGGGGCACUUCACCGCAGCAUCCCUGCUCAGAGCUCACAAGAAUUGCUCUGUCUUUUGAGGGGCUCCAGCUGGAGCCGUGCUGGCAAAGAGCAAUUUAUCCAUGUUUUCUCCUGAUGUUUCUUAAACAAACAGAUAACACACAUGCAUUUAAAAAUGUUUUUAUUAGACUCUUUGAGUCGAUUUCUAGAGAUCCAACCUCAGACUAAAUCCACGUAGAGCCGCAGCCUGGACCAAGACUCAGUUUGCCCCUGGAGGGAGGCAUCCUUGUGUCAGCCAGUCUUGAGGUGGUGCGGGCUAGAUCAUAACGCUGGGUCAGCUCACAAACCUUCAUGGUCUCGCUCCUGCAGCGAUCAGCCUGUGCUGGGACCUGUCAAGGACCACGCAUGUUAUCCUUCCCAUGCACGUGGCCGAUGGAGAGGAGGUUGGCACCCAACUCAAUGUCCCACACAGUGACGGUGGAGCUAUCAGAUCCUGUCCCCACCUACCAGGAAAAAGCAACUUGCUGUGAAAUGUUCUGCUUUGCAGAGCUUUGCCUUUGGUUAAUGAAGAGUGGCCAGAGAAGGGGACUGGCGCCGUGCCAUCCUGUAUCGGGGAAUUGCAUCUUCUUUGGCUGGAUGAUGGGUUCCUUCUGCUUUUGUGAGAGAGGCAGCCCGGGGCAACAUGGGCCACAUCAGCCACAGCCUGCGGGCUUCUGCAUGGGGAGAGUGCCACUUGCUGUCAGGCUGGGGAGGCGAGACAUGCUCUGACCACACACGGAGCUGUGGUUAGCAUAGCACCCAUCCUGCUGCAACCAGGAGGAAGCCCCAGAAGCUAAAUGCUGAUUUAUGCUGCAUACGGUCCCUAUUAGACCCUGCACUGAGCAGCCAGUAACACAGAGGUCACGUGUGGGUUGUGCUGGGUUUUACUGAGUGUGAAAGUGGGGAAUAGUCCAAAUAUACCCAUAAAAGAUCAGGGUCGGGUGCUUCAUUAGUGCAGUGAGUUAGCAUUUGCAAGGGGAGGCAGGUGUUGGGCUGGAAACGAGCUCUCCUUUGGCGCAGGCAGAGUGUUGAACGGGUGUGAAAACUGGAGGCUGAAGGCAGCAGAUGCUAGAGAAGAGGAGGAUGUUUGCAGCUGGGGGUACCAGUGUGCCUGAGGCAGUGCAUGCUGCAAGGGACCGGUGGCAGAAGGGUGCUGCCAGGCUCCGCGCUGGGUGGUGGGUCCCAGCCCACCAAGGGUGGGCAGCAAGCUGGAGGCUAUGGAUAGCUGCAGGGACAGGAGAGGAUGGCAAAACCCUCCUAACCUCAUCGAAGAGCUUGAAGUGGACGUUGAAGGACCCUAGCAGCAGUUUCCAGGUAAUACCUUGCGCAAGAUUGACUUAAUGCCAGCCAGGGUGGUGGUGGGUUUCAGUGACUGUUUUUCAGCCUCGCUCAAGCUCUUCUCCCUCCCAGAUCCCAAAUGAUGAUACUGUGCUGAGGCCAAACAUGACAUGGCAGCAGCCAAACCAUGACAUGAACUCAGGGACCUGCAAAGGUGGAGAGUUAAAAGGCACUUGGGACUUGUUUACCAGGUGGGUUUAAGGGAUGUUGCUUUAGCCUCACCCUCUCUGUUUACUGCAGGGUGCAAGUGACCUCAAAGUUGGUCCAUUCGUUUCUUGUGGCUUCUGAUGUCAGUCUGGCAGCAGAAAGGCUGGAGCAUUGGACUUGUGGCUGUGUUUUUUUCCAAUGGAUUUAGGGAGGGAGUGACUAAUGUCAUUGUAAACAAGUGGGGCUGGGUGUGCUGCACUGCUCAGCAUCCCACUGCUAGCAGCUUUCAUGGUGGGACGGGCUGGUGGCAGCCGGUGGCCUGUCUUGUUUUGGGAACAGAUUAAAAGAAUGACAUGAGGAACAACCUGGGCAUUGUUGGUGGGUUUUACUGCAUUGCCAUCUCCUUAUGCUGCAAAAAUAAUGGAAUAGGGAUGUGUACCCAGCUCCUUCCUUAGCAACCCCUGAGCCCUGGGACAACCACAUCACUGUCCCCUUCUCAGGUCCCAGAGGAUGCUGCAAACACCUCGCUGCAAGGACUUGUUCCCUGCAAGGUGCAGCACAGAGAAGUUAAAAUGCCUCAUUACAGAGGAAAAUGUGGUUCUGCUUUAGCCUGGCUGCAUGUGGAAGAGUCCUCCCUGGCUCUUGCAGAAGGGCUCCUCUCUCCUGGAGUUAGUCAUGCAAAAAAGAUUUCAGGAGGGUCUGCUGGAGUCUCUCCCACCAUGUGCUUUUGCACCAGAGUAAUAGUCAUUACUGGCUGCCGUUGCAGAUUUUUCCAUUAUUAGGGAUGAUACGCAGAUGCGUUCAGGCCUCCUCCACCUGUGUGCAGAUGCCAACUGGCCCUGCCUUUCGGUGGGCGUACGGAGCAGCCCGUGUGCCGGGGGCAGCACAGGAGCAACGAGUCCCUAGGAAUCUGUCACAGCUAGCUUGCCAGCUUUCUCUGGGAGAAAACAUAUCUCUGGUGCCUGAAAAAGCCCCCUUGUGACUUUUAUGACUUCAGCAGAUUUCAUCUGAGGAAAGCUUUUUUUUUGAAGGAAGAAAUACAGAAAGGCACUGCAGAUCUUCUAUGUGCAAUCUUUUAGACCUGGUUUCUAAAAAAGCAGCAAGGGCCGAGGUGAGCACUGGGCAGCAUCAGAGAGAGCAGCCUAGAGAUGGAUUUUGUUCAUUCUUCUUUAACAGGGGUCAAAUCCAUGUGUGGCGUGUAGACAAUUAGCAGGGCUCAAAUUCUGCAUUUCUGUUGAAAUUGGAUGGUUGUCUUGGUCUUGGGGGAAAUCCUUCUGGCACUGCUGGUGGGAGUGAUGGGGUGGCUGACAUGGUGGGUGGAGGGGUUGUAGAGAGCACAGCACUGCGAGGCUAUGUGAGUCACUGCUUCUUCAUACCUGCUGCUAUUGGCAAGCUUUAACAUCCCGAUGCAUGCUGCGAAUGAGACUGAGAGGAGGCAGGGAGGCUGUCACAUGAGCAUGAGGGGAAAAUCCCCCUUCUCCAAUGUUUGUCCUGGCUGCAGACAUGGGAACUUCAGCACAAGAACCUACAGGCAAGUCUCCAAGAAAGCAUCCCAGACUUGUGGCACCUGAGGAGGUGAGAAAGAGAUGGAGAAUCUGUGAUUUGUUCCUGCUGCCCGUAGCUGGAGGUGGCUGCAGGGACCAGCCCUGUGGUUGUGGGAAUAUUCAAGUCUGAGCUUUGUGGCUUCAUCAGAUCCAGACUUGGAACAUUCACGCUAAUAGCUACAUAAGGAGAAGAGAAGAGCAAGCUGAUAUCUUGAUACCUUCAUGAAGCUAGCUGGACGCCCAGCACCGGCAGACUAAAUACAGCCCUGCCUUCCCCCUGCAGUAGGCAACCCGAGCUGCUCAUUGCCAUUGUCCUACCCAAGAGCAUGAGCCUAGGGAGGCGGGAAGCCCCAGCCAGCCAAGCUUCUGCCUGGAGAAGUUUGCUUUGGAGCAUUGUUUAUUUAUUUCUUUUUACACCCGCUUUGAGCAGAAUUAAGGGCAGUAUUGGGAAGAGCCCUGUAAUGCUGCCUGCACAGUCUUAAAAUGCUUUGUGCUCACUGCAGUUCGGAUCCUUACAGCACCUUUGGGAAGACAGACAACAUUCAAAUGCCCAUUUUACAGCAUGCUGCACUCAGCACUGCUGAAAAAUAAAUCCUUAGUAGUGUUGGCUCUGGAGACAAAAUAUGAAUAUAUGUGAGUUGCACGUGUCCAAUCUCAUUGCAGUGAGCUCAAGAAGGUGCAAUUAUUCUUAUUUUUAUGCUCAUAUGUGAUUUAGAUGACUAAUGGCUGAGAAUUCCUCCCUUCUCCUAAUUGUCUACAAAAGGAGUGAUUUCAAAGCACAAUAAUUGUGGCCGCUGCCAAAGGGAAUAGGAGGUAGGAGCAACGUGUAUUACCUCCAAAUGGCCCCACAUGUGUUCCUUGUCCAUAGCAACAGACACGGUUUGUACUGGAAUAAUGCAUCAACUAGAUAUUUAAUCUUUCACCCAAGGAUCUAAAAUUGCUCUCUAAUGAACCAUUAGCUGAAGGAGCUCCACACAGCCCUGAUUAGAUAGGCAAGAAGACAUGGAAGUCGUGAAACAGCCCAGCUUUGUAGUACUGGGAGGGAAGAGAGCCGUACUGUGAUUGUGCUCCGUGGGGAAACUACAGCUGAAGGAGCUGAGAAGGGACAAGCAGGUCAAGCCUGCUGUUUUGAAGAUGUUUUGGACACAUUACAGCGAUGCUACAGCUCCUGCUCUGAGCUCGGUGCUAUCAGUAGCCAAACAAGGUAGUUCAAAGGCUGCUGGGUGGCUUUCUGUGCGGCUCUGCAGAGAAAUGGUCUCUAAAGGGAGGGUUGCAAUGCCAUGCAGGGACCCAGCAGCUGUGCCGGGACUUCCAGCCCAACAGAAUAUCAAUUGCUAACAAGACCUUUCUGCUGAUAUCUGGGCUGGCCCAGGAAAUGGGGCUGCGAGUAGAAAUGUUUGGGAGCCACCACUUUCAAGUUUGCAGGGACCAAGGACAUCUUACACCCCAUCUGGGUGUGGGCCACCUCCAGGUCUGCAGGAGCAGCAGCAUCACGGUGGGGAGCAUCCAUCACAGAGUGAAGCGGUACCAUCUGCAGCUUUUGGAGACGUCAUUCCCAAAUACCAGCUUCCCUUCUGUGUUCGCAGCUCCUGCCACUGAGCCAAGAGACCCCAGAGAUAACCAGUGCUGUGGGGCAGCACCCAGCAGCAGCUGGAUAUGAUGUCUUGGGCUUCACCCAUGUCUACCCCAAAAACGCUUGGACAGGAAGAGCAGCGCUUGGCCAGGCUGUCACGUAGCAGCUCCCGGGGCGCAUGACCCAAUCCCCCUCCAGUGACUGGGAGAUUCAGGGGUCUGCAAUCAUCAAAGCACUUCACACCCCAAAAAACACAGGCAAAGCCUCCUCAGCCGUGUUGUCCGCUGCUGUUCUCAGCCUGGCCGGGGCUGGUGCCGCGCUGCUGACCUGCCCGGCCGGAGGGGUUGAGGGAAGUAUUUUUUUUUUUUUUUUUUUGGCUUUUUCACAUUCUCAGCUUGUGACUCAGUUAUCAACCAUUGUUACCUUCCCGUAUCUGGCAGAUCAGGAGAGGACCACUGCAUUAGUUCGGUGUUGCCAAGUAGAGCUUAAAUAUUGUGAUUAAAAAAUUCCAGUCUUGCAUAGUCUACUCAGACAUGCAGGAAGAAACCUUUGCAAUUAGAUUCCCUGUGCGCCAGCAGGAGGGCAGAAGUUCCUCCUUUUUUUCCCCUUUUUUUCCAUUACUAUAUUCUUCUGUGAGUUAAGAGCAGCAGGGGAAAAAGCGCCUGUUUGAUUUUCUUCAUUAUGCUAAGCCUGGUUUUACUUUCUGAUUGCCAAAGCAUGAUAAAUGGAACAGAGAUUACCUAGAGAUUUUCAAAGAUUUGCUUUCAAAUUUUAGUUUUCCUGAGCCUCGUUAAGCUUGCAGGUUUUAUCUACACUUUGUUCUUACAGUAGAGCAGCAUUGCCAUAUAUUAAUAGCCAUACAUUUUCAUUUGAAAUUAAAACCAGAUAGAUGCUUCUCA